GCGCUCUGGGAGGGCCUCGCGGCCUAUCAGCUUGUUGGCGGGGUAACGGCCCACCAAGGCUACGACGGGUAGCUGGUCUGAGAGGACGAUCAGCCACACUGGGACUGAGACACGGCCCAG
rnacentral:rRNA from 1 species